rnacentral:lncRNA from 1 species
CAGUCUUGGACUUGUUCAGAAAAAUCAUUCAGGAUGCUGCCAAAACAACGGACCAACAGUGAUUAGACAAAAUGUUACAAGGGCAGCAAAGCAAACUGACAAUCAUCUCUCAUUUGAAAUCUUUCAAUACUAGAGCUAGGGGUGUCUCAGGGUGAAAAUCUCAAACCUAUUCUCCAAGGAACAUUCAGGCAGCCACAUCACAACACGGUCUCGGGCACCGACGGCACCUCCACCACGCAGAAGCCAACUCUGCUGUCAGUGAAGUAACAAAUCCAACUAAAGACAAAGGUA